CGCAAAAAAGGGGACGGAGGGGAUUAAGUCGUAAGCGGCCGGUUGGGGGAUUACGACUUAAUCCCCUCCGUCCCCUUUUCCUGC
rnacentral:antisense_RNA from 1 species